AUCAUAUUUGAGGGAAAUGUUUGAGAGGUAGAGAGAUAUCGCCAAACGGGUUUCAGAUUUCAAUCCAGAAAACCUGUCUUCUGGAAAACGGCAUUCCAGACACGGCAAAGAUCCCUCCCUUUAAGCUACCGCCCCACCCCUUC